CUUAAUGCAAUAUUUAAAUAGUUACUAUCGAGUUGCAACAGUAUCAAGUGUAUUUCUUAGAGUGUCAGAAAUGUUUUUUCACCUGGAAGUGUGUUGGGAUAUCCAACACUCCUUAUAUCAGAAUGAACUAGUCUUCCUUCUUUGUCUUUUUUGUCUUUCUAGAUUGUGGAUCACUGGGGAGAAUAUUUGGGAUAAAGAAAUGAAAGGCACAAGGGAAGAUCCACGUCCCCAAGAGAAUGCUUUAGGUACCAUAUGCAGCUUCUGAACCAUGUGGAUAAUCCCGGCUCCCACAGAAACCUUCCAAAGCUGGAAGGGACAAGGAAGAAAAUUCGAGGAACAGUGGGAAAUGCUUUCUUCCGGGUCUGGAUGGCAUUGAGGUCAGAACGAGUUCUAAAUAUUGUUUGUGCCUCUCCUGUUGCCAGCCCAGGACUAAGUCAAUGUUCCCUGAGUGGCUGCAGUUCCCUGUGUGUGGAGGGAGGAGGUCCAUGCUGGAGAGUGAGAGAAAGGUCUCUGCUGGUGUCUGUGUCCUCAGUGGGCAGAGAGUUCUAACCUUGGCCAGAUGUGUUGGACAGGAAGAACCACUGAACUUGUCCCAUCCUUGCCAAGAGCUUUGGUGUUUGAACAGCCAAACCCAACCUGGUCCUGCCCAUGGAGUGGGUAAGUCACAGGUUCCUCUUCUCCUCUCUGCUAUGAUGAACUGUGUAAGAAAUGCCAUUUCCAGCAGCCUGGUCUGCUGGAAAAGGGGAGAAGGAAAGAGGAAAUGUGGUGCCAGAGCUGUGUCCUGCCAGGUUGUGUUUCCUUCCUUCUGAGGACAGAGUCACUGGGCCAAGAUGAGUUUGCUGUGAUUGCUUAGAUGAGCAAUUCAGGGAACAGAAAGCUUGGAACUGCAGCUGCUGCUGGAACCAGUGCUUUAGGUCUGCUUUAGGUUGCAAAGAUCGAGUCCUACAGUCCCAGAGUGAUUGAGGGGGUGUUGUGUUGUGUUAGGUUGAAAGUUGGACUGUUCUGCAACCCCCUCUAUUUGCAAUGGUUCUGCCUUGGUUCUCUCCUCCCUCCCUUGUGCUGCCAGUUAUCCCAACUCCUCCCCAGUUUCCUUAGAAACUAAUGUAUCCUAUCUCAAGUCCCUCCCUAGUUCCCUGUCCGUCACUCGGCGUUCCCACCCUUCCAUCUAGAAGCUUCAGCUUGGCGCCUAAUAUGAGGCCCGAGGGCAUCUCCAGACCCCGCAGACAAGGCUUGUAGACCCUCUGGAUUUUAUUCCUCGGACACCUGCUUUAAGUCUCCUUGGCCGUCAAGCUACCUCCGGUAGAGCAGACCCCUUUUUGGUGGGUAGUGCUCCCGGGGGAUCAGGAACGGCAGCUCCUUGCACCCAAGGAGUCGUUCCCCCAGCAGAAGCCAUUGCUCCCAGAUUUCUUUUGGCCCUCGUCAGAUUGUGCUGGAACUGUCUUUCUGGAUGUGUGCUGAGCUCUUGCUGCUGUGAACUGUGUGGCCUUAAUUGCUGCAGGGUUCUAUUCUUCUCACAGGGGAAUUGGAAAUAUUUAUUAAUUAGAGUGCAGAGAUAUUUUCUGAAACCUUUCCCUUUUUUCUGCCUUUUAAUGGUAGAUCUUCUCUUUCUGCCUCUGAAUAUAUGGUGAUUCUCAGAUGUCAUUUACUGGCCCAAACUCCUUGCAGCUCCUGGGGCAGAGACAAGCUUUUCCUAUUGCCGAGGUUCAGUGGGAAAAUGAUACUGUGUCGCACCUCCUUCAAACAUUGAACUGCUCAUUUUAUCUUAGAGCAUAGAUUUAGUUGAUCCUUUUUCAACAGAAUGUGGUGGGCUGAACUCACCUGAAUUAAUAAACCAUGCUUUAGAUAGUUGAGGUUUUUAAAGGAAAAAAGAAAAAGCCAGCGAGCUUUUCAUCUGUGGGCUUAAUUGGUACUGCUCCUUAACUCAGCCACACCUUUAAGAAAUGACAUGGGCACAUUCUAGAAACAGUGUUUCUAGUCACACUAUUGUUAUAGAUGGAUAUUAAGAAAAUUGGCUCUUGCAUUAAGAGAUAACUAUUGUGUGAAUAUUAAGAAAAGCUUUAGUGAUGUAUAGUUAUGUUGUUGUAGUUUAGAUGUCCUCUGUUCUCCCCACAGUUCCCUUUCCCCUCCUGUAUUGUUGCCAUCAGAGCAUGGGUUGUCUAGGACAGGUAAAAAGAAGGCUGCACAUGUGCCCCUUGCAUGGGGCAGUUGGGAAUGGGAAAGCUCAGGGCAUGCUUAGGGGGCGCAGCAUGGCAACACCUCAAGAUAAGUAAAUGUAAACAAUGUUUAGAAGCACAAUAAACAGCUUGUGGUUGAUUCACA